GUUCAGCUCAUUUUUGCUGUUUCCAGAGAGCUCCAGGGCCCUUUUCUUUGCUGGGAAACCACUAGUCCUCUUAGAUAACGGAGUGGAGAAAGUUGGGUAGGGCUGACCGACCCAAAAGAGCAGCAAGAAGUACCGAUGCAUCAAACAUAUCUAAGAAUCACAGUGAGGACCACCAACGGCAAGAUCUUCAGAAAAGUCAGCUAUUAUACAUAUAAAGGGUGUUGCAUGAGGAGACUGUGGCAUAACACUGCAUGAUGCUACCCACAGAAGAUGUUUCUGAAGUAUUGUUUGACUGAAGUCAUCCCAACCCACUGAAGAACUUACACUUAAGUCAUCCUAACGAAUAAGCAUAGAACUCUUUUCAGCAUAUGUGUCACAAACCACUUAUUAUUUUUUGGUACGUUUUCUCAUGUUAUAUAAUUAAUGAAGGAGGAAGCAGCUGGUUGUUUACAGUUACUUAACACGUCUCUUGACCCCAUUGCACUCAAUGCUGAGCCUGAAGUUCUCCAUUCCUGCUCUGGGUGCAAUGGGAACAAGCAUGAUGUUGACGACAUUCAAAUAUAGUGAAUUAAACAAACAGAACAGCAUGUGGGGAUGAAUUAUACCAAAUGAAGCCAAAGGUAAACUUGCCUUUGCACAAAUAAAUCUUUAAAAAUACAUGUUAUUUGUUCAGAGAGAAGAGUUUUAUAGCCAAUUAAGUUUGCUGAAGAUCAAUUUUUUGAUCACCCAAGAACCUUUGUUUUGAAUAGGUGGCUUGCUGGUAUGAAUAAAAGAGUGUGCCUGUAGGACAUGGUAGAUCUUCUAGAAGUGAUGACAUAAGGAUAGAACCAAUUUAACAUUUUUGGUAGGGAUUUCACAUGAAGUCUUCAUUUCUAAACCUCCAUUUCAUUUUUUCUGUAAAUGUCAAAGUCACUGUUGAGUAAAAUUGGUUCCGUUUCGUGUGUGUAAUGAACUCCACUGAAAUGUGUCAAACAGCUUUGGCACCUCUCACCACGUAGCGUUUCUUCUGUGCCAAUGAAUCAUUAUGGCAACAGCCAUCAAAUGAUGCUUGAUUUUUUUGUAAAUGUUUAUAUUUGUGGAUAAUAUGCCAAUCUGUUUGCAAACUGAUGCAUUUCCAGAUGAAGCCAUUUCAACAGUAUUACCCUCGUUCUAAAAUCAUAUUCCGCACAUUAGAUUAAUGAAGAUAAAAAUCAAAUGUGUUACAGCACAUAAAACCCGGUUUUAUAUGUAGUUGAGGCUCAAGGAAUAUUUGGGUUGAUACUCACAUAGGACAAAACAAACACAUUGGAAUCAGAGGACAUAGACAAAGUUCUUGUUUCACAUGGAGGGAGGAGCCUAAACUAUUUUGUUGUGAGAAGUGUCAGAAUAUGGUUAAAAUCAGACUCUAGCAUGCCACACAAUCAGGGUUAGAAUCUCAGGCCUGCCCAAGAGUAGUGGGACAAGAAGAGACCAAUUUGUGCCCCAAUUUCCUCAACUAAAAAUGGGAGGGUAUUAAUAGUACUUACCCUCAUGGAAUGGCAGUGCAGAUGAAAUUAACAAGUUCAACUAUUGCAUUACAAUGGUCAAAACCAUGUCACCCAGCAAAGAAUGUCUUAGCAGAGGACACAGGCAGGACAUAGGCUUAGGACCAGAUUUUGCCUUUUGAGCAGUUUUGGUUUUGUCUUUGGCAGUGAUGAAACUUAAGCCAGUUCCUAGUCUUCAGAAACCAGCAGAUCUCCGUCUCUGGGUUAACUUGAAACCUCAGAAGUCUGGUUCCAGAGUUGGUGGUGCAGCCUCUUGAAGCAGUGCAGAUGCUUCCCGGUGGCUACAGCCCUUACUGUUCCUUAUUGUGUCCCCUUCUGGGGCCUUAGGUUCAACUGCCAUUUACCAUCUCACUUUCACUUCAGUUUUCUUAGAGCUACUUAGUUUUUUUAGGUCCUUCUCUGCAUCCUGCCUGGCUCCUGAGGGCCUCUGGACUUGUAAACCCUGUUUUCCCCCAAAGAUUUAGUCAUGUGAACAAAGGAGAAGAGAAUGUGUUUCAUACUUUCAUUUAACUAUUCAUGAUAGGAAUUUUAAACAUUCCUGUAGCAGAGUGUAUGUUUGCAGAAAUGUAUGAAAAACUUGAUUUCGCAUUACCCUCUGUUUCUAUGUUAGGUUGUCUGGCAGCUACAUUAAUUCCUUUGGACACAUAGCCACUUAAAACAAUGAAGUUUAAACAAGACUGGGAGAUGUCUAAACCCACUAACUAAUUAGCAUGAAUGUUUUCAAAAUUUCAAUGAGUUUGCUCAUCUUUUAAUGCUCAAUGAAAAGGCAGCCUGAGAAUAUUGACUGGGAGCUAUGGGCUAGCAGUAAAGAGGGUAUCUUCGUGGGUAUGGGGAGUUCAAAACAGACUUAACCUUAUUAAAUUACAAAAGGCAUCACAUAUCUAAGUUUACCAUUAAGUAUUUAUAAAUUUGGCACACUAUACAUGGUUUUAAAGACUUGAUCUUGUAUAUAUAAUAUACAAGAAUAGCAUAAAUGUUUUGUUUUUGCUGACAUAUGUCUAAAUUUUUUUUUAUCACUGUCUUUCAAACUUUUAUCAAUGAUGUUUAACUCCUAGAUAAGAAUACUGGUUGACACUUGGUGUUUUCUAUUCCAUAACUUACUAUGUGUUAGGUACCAUCCUAAGCACAUCAUAAAGUUGUUUUGAUCUAAUUCUCACAACAAUUCUAUGAGGGGAAGUAAUAUUCUUCCAAUUUCUGCAGAUAAACUGAAGCUUAGAGAGGAUGAAGAAAUGGUUCAAGGUCAUGCAAUAUGUAUGUAAUGAACCUAAGCUAACUGAAGCAAUCAGAUUAGGGUAUCCUCACUCCAAACCCACAUGAAGGAGUCACAGGCCAGGCUGUUGCCCACAUGAUAAGUGAGCAAUACAGCUGUGACCUUAUAAUUGAGUCUUCAUGAUUCUCCUAAAAAAGAGCACCAAUACAGGUCUCCAAGAAGUAAAAUAAUUGUCACAAAGUUUAUAAGCUAAAUAAGAACAGCAAACAAAUAUUUGCACUGUGCCAGGUAAUAGGAUAAAUGCUCUACAAAUAUAUAUGUCUUACAGUGGUCCUUUGAGAUGAGAACCAUAUUCUUAUUCUGUUUUAGAGAUGAGAAGCACAGUCUUAGAGGGACUGGAGACUUUGCCCAAGGGUACACAGUAAGUGAAGCGCAGAAAUUGGAUAAAACCCAACUAACCUAGACGUUCCUUCUUAAUCCUAACACCCACUAUUUCAUUUGUAUUUUGCUCUUGGAAACAGCAUCUAGGUUUUAUUUACUCUCAUUUCAGACAAAACUUGAACAAAUUUAUCGUCAGAUUUCUAAAUCCCCAACAAAUUGAACAAAAAGGCAAGGAGUGCUAGAAGCUGGAGCAUCCACAUUAGUGGGAAGGAAUAGCUAAAAGGCUCAGGGGGAGUGGUCACAUAAGGCAGGCAGAAGAACUGGAGGUAGAACAGAGUCAGGGGCUGGCCUUGGGAGAGCCGAGAAGUCCUGCGCUCCACGCCAAGAACAGGGCGUGGCAUACAGUAACACCAGAUAAAUAUUUGUCAAAUAGGUGACCUUAUGGAUGAACACAUGCUUGGCUUCAUGUAAGAAUGACUGAAUGUGUGCUUUGAUAAUAUGACUGAAGACUGCAAGAAUGGACAUGAGUAUUUCACAGCACUGGAGGGUACCACUGUUUGUAAAUACAGCUCCAGAAAACACA